GUAGGUGAACCUGCGGAAGGAUCAUUAAAGAAAUUUAAUAAUUUUGAAAAUGGAUUUUUUUGUUUUGGCAAGAGCAUGAGAGCUUUUACUGGGCAAGAAGACAAGAGAUGGAGAGUCCAGCCGGGCCUGCGCUUAAGUGCGCGGUCUUGCUAGGCUUGUAAGUUUCUUUCUUGCUAUUCCAAACGGUGAGAGAUUUCUGUGCUUUUGUUAUAGGACAAUUAAAACCGUUUCAAUACAACACACUGUGGAGUUUUCAUAUCUUUGCAACUUUUUCUUUGGGCAUUCGAGCAAUCGGGGCCCAGAGGUAACAAACACAAACAAUUUUAUCUAUUCAUUAAAUUUUUGUCAAAAACAAGAAUUUUCGUAACUGGAAAUUUUAAAAUAUUAAAAACUUUCAACAACGGAUCUCUUGGUUCUC
rnacentral:misc_RNA from 1 species